rnacentral:rRNA from 1 species
GACUUAGUGGCGGACGGGUGAGUAACACGUGAGCAACCUGCCUUUCAGAGGGGGAUAACGGCUGGAAACGGUCGCUAAUACCGCAUGAUGUGUUCGGAUGGCAUCAUCUGAACAUCAAAGAUUUAUCGCUGAAAGAUGGGCUCGCGUCUGAUUAGAUAGUUGGUGGGGUAACGGCCUACCAAGUCUACGAUCAGUAGCCGGACUGAGAGGUUGAACGGCCACACUGGGACUGAGAUACGGCCCAGACUCCUACGGGAGGCAGCAGUGGGGAAUAUUGCACAAUGGGGGAAACCCUGAUGCAGCAACGCCGCGUGAAGGAUGACGGUUUUCGGAUUGUAAACUUCUUUUCUUGGUGACGAAGACAGUGACGGUAGCUAAGGAAUAAGCAUCGGCUAACUACGUGCCAGCAGCCGCGGUAAUACGUAGGAUGCAAGCGUUAUCCGGAUUUACUGGG